rnacentral:rRNA from 1 species
UACGAAGGGUGCAAGCGUUACUCGGAAUUACUGGGCGUAAAGCGUGCGUAGGUGGUUUGUUAAGUCUGAUGUGAAAGCCCUGGGCUCAACCUGGGGAAUUGCAUUGGAUACUGGCAGGCUAGAGUGCGGUAGAGGAUGGCGGAAUUCCCCGGUGUAGCAGUGAAAUGCGUAGAGAUCGGGGAGGAACAUCUGUGGCGAAAGG